rnacentral:rRNA from 1 species
GAUGAACGCUGGCGGCGUGCCUAACACAUGCAAGUCGAACGGAGUCGUUUUGGAAAUCUCUUCUGCGCUGGAAUUCUCGACUUAAUGGCGGCCGGAGGAGCCACCCCUUAGCAAUCUGCCUUCAUGAGGGGGAUAAGAGUCGUACACGGCUGCUAAUACCGCAUAAUGCAUUAAAUUUGAAAGUUUUUGCUGCCAAAGGAGCAAUCCGCUUUUAGCUGCGCUCGCGUCUGAUUAGCUCGUUGGCGGGGUAACGGCCCACCAAGGCGACGAUCAGUAGCCGGACUGAGGGGUUGAACGGCCACAGUGGGACUGAGACACGGCCCAGACUCCUACGGGAGGCAGCAGUGGGGAAUAUUGCGCAAUGGGGGAAACCCUGACGCAGCAACGCCGCGUGAUGGAAGAAGGCCUUCGGGUUAUAAAGAUCUUGACUCAGGGACGAAACAAAUGACGGUACCUGAAGAAUAAGCUCCGGCUAACUACGUG